AUUUUUUUAAGAAAAUUAAUUUAAAAUAAUACCUGCUCAAUGUAAAUUAAUAAAUAGCUGCAAAAUUUUGUACUAAGGUAGCAUAAUCAUUAGCCAACUAAUUAUUGGAUAGAAUGAAUGGUUAAACGAAACAUAAUUUUUAUUUAAAACUUAAAUUAAUUUAAAUUAAAAGUAAAAAUUCUUUUAUUAAUUAGAAAGACGAUAAGACCCUAAUAAACUUUAUAUUUAGCUGGGGCGGCUAAUAAAUAAAACCUUAAUAUUAAUAAUAAAAUUCCUAAAAUAUUUAAUAAACAAGUUACUAUAGGGAUAACAGCGCAAUUUUAAUUUAAAGAUCACAUUAAAAUUAAAAAUUACGACCUCGAUGUUGAAUUAAUUUACCUUUUUAAAGUAGCCUUUAAACAAGUUAGUCUGU
rnacentral:rRNA from 1 species